AUUGAACGCUGGCGGCAGGCCUAACACAUGCAAGUCGAGCGGAGCGGCGGACGGGUGAGUAAUGCCUAGGAAUUUGCCUGGUGGUGGGGGAUAACGUCCGGAAACGGGCGCUAAUACCACAUACUAUCAGAUGAGCCUCGGGCGGAUUAGCUAGUGGGUGGGGUAAAGGCCUACCAAGGCGACGAUCCGUAACUGGUCUGAGAGGAUGAUCAGUCACACGGGAACUGAGACACGGUCCAGACUCCUACGGGAGGCAGCAGUGGGGAAUAUUGGGCAAUGGGCGAAAGACUGAUCCAGCCAUGCCGCGUGUGUGAAGAAGGUCUUCGGAUUGUAAAGCACUUUAAGUUGGGAGGCGUUACCUACAGAGUAAGCAACGGCUAACUACGUGCCAGCAGCCGCGGUAAUAC
rnacentral:rRNA from 1 species